UACAGAGGUGGCAAGCGUUGCUCGGUAUCACUGGGCUUAAAGGGCGCGUAGGCGGUGCGGUACGGUUUCGGUGAAAUCCCUCGGCCCAACCGAGGAACAGCCGGGGCAACGGCCGCGCUCGACGGCAUCAGGGGACAGUGGAACUCCCGGUGGAGCGGUGAAAUGCGUAGAUAUCGGGAGGAACGCCGGUGGCGAAAGCGACUGUCUGGGGUGCCUGUGACGCUGAGGCGCGAAAGCCUGGGGGAUCAAACGGG
rnacentral:rRNA from 1 species